UCCUAAAUAAGACUUUAUUUAAAAGAGAUAUCUGAGGUAAAAAAAAAAAAAAUCCAAUUUCCUCCCUGCUCAUAAUAAUGCUUGUGACUUACACAAAUACUUUGACAAAAAAACCCAAGCUCAGACUGGCUUACAGUCCCAUUCUCAAGCUCUUCAAACAAAAUACAAACUAGAACUUCUUUGAGACAGGCUUUUGUACUGUAAAGAAACACGUUUUAAGCAGGACUUGUCUGGGUUUCACGGUUCUUUAAAUAUGCCGAGUAGAGAGGAACUUUUAGGGACUUAAUUACUGAGUUAUUUCAAAUGCUUUUAAGAUUUGCAAUUUAGAGAUGAUUCAAGGUGGAUCUGAGUUGGAAAUAAUGUAGUUACUGUAUCUAUGUAACAAAAUGGGUAUGUUGUACCCACUGAACAGCUCCUCGUCAAACAUAAUUGUUUAAUGUAGGUUUACAGUAUAAUACAUGUAAUUUUAGACAAUGACAAUAAUAUGAGAAACAUAAAAAGGGUGCCAGCAUAAAGUAAAAAAUUAAAAUUUAAUGUCAUGAAUUACAAGAUAUAAAAUGGUAAUUUAAAAAAACACAUUUCUGAGCUUAAAGGCUAAUGAGAUAAAAUAUAUAGUUGAGGAUAUAAAUGUCUGUUGCUGAGUUUGAAACCACCAAAGGUUCCUGGAUAUGAACAAACGGCUGCAGCGAUGGCAUAGUAUGUCACUCCGCAGCUAAACACAGAUAAAUGCGAAUGAAUUAAACUGAUACGUGAUUAUGAUGUGGACCCCAACUGCUCUCAACAAACUUAUUCUUCUCUAUAAACACCAUUGAUCCUGAACAAGAGUACAGCACUCGAAAAUAUCACAAUAUCUCAAACAAAGGCCUUUUUUCAUACACUUAGCUGCCAUGACUGCGAUAGGCCUGGUGGGUAACAUGGAUACACACCUACAUCGUUUUCUCCUAUUAUACAUGUAUGAUACAAAUAUGUAAAGUCGUUUCGCACAAGCCAUAAAAUUACUUUUUCCAAAUCAAAUGAACAGAAAUAAACCAGGUCUACACAUGCUGUAGAAUCUAUGUACAGGUAUAUAAAAAAGUAAACAGACUAACGUGAAUGUUUUGAAAAACCGCACAGUCCCAUAGAGUCAUCUCUCUUCUACAAAAUGCAUGUCUUUGUAGAUUAGUGUUGAAUGAUAAAGUAAAAAGUUGUCGCUAACAGUUUUCUUGUGAUCUGUCUUUGACCUGAUCAGACUCGAACACUGUAAGGAAAGACAACAAUAAAGCAAAACAGGAAGACAGCAUCGUGGUGGUGUAGGCAGUUAACUGAAAGACAAUGACACACUACUUAUUGGCCUGGUUUACAAAUUAUGGGGGGACAAAUUAAAGGAAAUCCGGAUGACACUCAUCUCCUCCAAGAUGAUGGUGCAUCGGUCUAAGGGUCACCCAAUGGUUUGAACAUUAUGAAAAUGACGUGAAUCAUAUGCUGUGUCUUUUACAGUCACCAUAUCUCACCCUGACAGAACACUUAUGGGAGAUUUUGCACCGAUGGGAUUAUUCCAGAUCCAGACACGACCAUAUUUGAUUAAGAGGGUGGAGCUGGAGAAAAUGAGGGAUGACUGGGAUGAGCCUUGAUUUGGUUUUUCCUUUAAUUUCCCUUUCUUUAUCCAUUAUUACCUUUUGUUGUAUGAUAUCAUUUGAUUUCAUUUGUUACACAGAGCAGCCAGAAAAUGUAAACACUAACUGUGCUUUGCUAUACAAACUACUUGUGUGCAGAAAUGCAAGAAGUACAGCCAGUCAAAGCUGAAAUAGGUCUGUUUUGUUUUUGCAGUCAUUCCAAAUCUAGUUUGGUUGACCUGUGCAUGUAGUCAGACCUCAGUGAUUAUGUCAAAUACAAUAUACCCUUAACCAAUAGAAGGAUGGCAACACUGAUAAACAGAGGACAGAGUGAACAAAGGAUAUGAAAUUAACUUUUGUAGAAAUUGUGCCUUGGCGUACAGAUAAAUCUUUCCUAACGGUGCUGACAACUGAACUGAAAAGUGCGGCAUCGCAAAACACAUCCCUUUCUAACGGACUCUACUGUGGCAGAUCCACUUUCUGCUGAUACACACUUCUGCUUUCUUCACCACUGGCAGUUAAUAGCAUCUUUAAAAACACUGAAAAAAAUGGACCUUUCUAUGACCAAUUGGUUUUGGAGUCCACAUUAUACUGCAAGUGGCCACAUGUGCCAAAAACAUGUUUCAUACCUAAUGUAGAGCAAGUAAUGUUUCACAGUUCAAUCGAAUACUUUAAAAACAACUGGUAGAGCUCGUCUGAGGCCACAUCUGGGUCUGAACAGGCAUAUAACAGGUAACAUUUGAGUCCAGUUGAAGGCAAAUACUAUUAUUAUUGGGAUGUAUCUAGUUUUGCCGAUUAACCUACAUGUACAGGUAGUUUAAUAAUGUUUCAGACUAGAGAUUUUCUGUCCACAUUGUUGCUUUCAGUGCGCCAUAUAUGGUUAAAAAUUUGCCUCAUAUAUGUAAUAUACUGGCAGCCUGCUGAAGGGAGAUGUGAUAUAAGCAGAACUGGAUAUAAUGUGCAAAUGGAGAGGCCAAACAGGCAGUUACAAAAUGUCAAAGUACU